rnacentral:rRNA from 1 species
AUUGAACGCUGGCGGCAGGCUUAACACAUGCCAGUCGAACGAUGACUCUCUAGCUUGCUAGAGAUGAUUAGUGGCGGACGGGUGAGUAACAUUUAGGAAUCUACCUAGUAGUGGGGGAUAGCUCGGGGAAACUCGAAUUAAUACCGCAUACGACCUACGGGUGAAAGGGGGCGCAAGCUCUUGCUAUUAGAUGAGCCUAAAUCAGAUUAGCUAGUUGGUGGGGUAAAGGCCCACCAAGGCGACGAUCUGUAACUGGUCUGAGAGGAUGAUCAGUCACACCGGAACUGAGACACGGUCCGGACUCCUACGGGAGGCAGCAGUGGGGAAUAUUGGACAAUGGGGGCAACCCUGAUCCAGCCAUGCCGCGUGUGUGAAGAAGGCCUUUUGGUUGUAAAGCACUUUAAGCAGGGAGGAGAGGCUAAUGGUUAAUACCCAUUAGAUUAGACGUUACCUGCAGAAUAAGCACCGGCUAACUCUGUG